AGAGUUUGAUCCUGGCUCAGGAUGAACGCUGGCGGCGUGCCUAAUACAUGCAAGUCGAACGCAUCUCUUUUAGAGAUGAGUGGCGAACGGGUGAGUAAUACAUAGGUAACCUGCCCCUGUGCGGGGGAUAACAGGAGGAAACUCCUGCUAAUACCGCAUAGCCAUGAGCACCGCAUGGAGCUCAUGCCAAAUAUCCUUUCGGGGAUAGCGCAGGGAUGGACCUAUGGCGCAUUAGCUAGUUGGCGGGGCAACGGCCCACCAAGGCAACGAUGCGUAGCCGGCCUGAGAGGGCGGACGGCCACAUUGGGACUGAGACACGGCCCAGACUCCUACGGGAGGCAGCAGUAGGGAAUUUUCGGCAAUGGGGGAAACCCUGACCGAGCAACGCCGCGUGAGCGAAGAAGGCCUUCGGGUCGUAAAGCUCUGUUGUAAAGGAAGAACGUCGUACACAGGAAAUGGUGUGCGAGUGACGGUACUUUACCAGAAAGCCACGGCUAACUACGUGCCAGCAGCCGCGGUAAUACGUAGGUGGCGAGCGUUAUCCGGAAUCAUUGGGCGUAAAGAGGGAGCAGGCGGCCGCAAGGGUCUGUGGUGAAAGACCGAAGCUAAACUUCGGUAAGCCAUGGAAACCGGGCGGCUAGAGUGCGGAAGAGGAUCGUGGAAUUCCAUGUGUAGCGGUGAAAUGCGUAGAUAUAUGGAGGAACACCAGUGGCGAAGGCGACGGUCUGGGCCGCAACUGACGCUCAUUCCCGAAAGCGUGGGGAGCAAAUAGGAUUAGAUACCCUAGUAGUCCACGCCGUAAA
rnacentral:rRNA from 1 species